ACCAUAGCUCAGUGGUAGAGCAUCUGCUUUGCAUACAGAAGGUCCCAAGUUCAAUUCCCACUAUCUCCA